GUGCCAGCCGCCGCGGUAAUACGAAGGUGGCAAGCGUUGUUCGGAUUUACUGGGCGUAAAGGGAGCGUAGGUGGUGCGGUAAGCCCUCCGGGAAAGCUUCAGGCUUAACCUGAAAAGGUCGGGGGGGACUGCCGCGCUAGAGGACGGGAGAGGAGCGCGGAAUUCCCGGUGUAGCGGUGAAAUGCGUAGAGAUCGGGAGGAAGGCCGGUGGCGAAGGCGGCGCUCUGGAACGUUUCUGACACUGAGGCUCGAAAGCGUGGGGAGCAAACAGGAUUAGAAACCCUCGUAGUCC
rnacentral:rRNA from 1 species